rnacentral:rRNA from 1 species
UACGUAGGUGGCAAGCGUUGUCCGGAUUUAUUGGGCGUAAAGCGCGCGCAGGUGGUUUCUUAAGUCUGAUGUGAAAGCCCACGGCUCAACCGUGGAGGGUCAUUGGAAACUGGGAGACUUGAGUGCAGAAGAGGAAAGUGGAAUUCCAAGUGUAGCGGUGAAAUGCGUAGAGAUUUGGAGGAACACCAGUGGCGAAGGCGACUUUCUGGUCUGUAACUGACGCUGAGGCGCGAAAGCAUGGGGAGCAAGCAGG